rnacentral:lncRNA from 1 species
AAAAUAAAAAUUACUCCAAAACCUGGAGACUAAACAAUAUACUACUGAAUGAACAAUGGAUUGCAGAAGACAUCAAGAAGGAGAUUAAAAAAUUCUUAGAGGUAAAUGAGAACAUAGACAUAACAUAUCAAAAUCUCUGGGACACUAUGAAAGCAUUACUAAGAGGAAAGUUCAUUGCAUAGAGUUCAUUCCUUAAAAGAAGAAAAAGUAAAUAAAUAAAUGACCUAACAUUACAUCUCAAAGCCCUAGAAAAAGAAGAACAAAUCAACACCAAAAGCAGUAAAAGGCAAGAAAUAAUUAAAAUUAGAGAUGAAAUCAAUGAAAUUGAAACAAAGAGACAAUUGAAAAAAUUGACAAAAUAAAAAGUUGGUUCUUUGAAAAAAUAAAUAAGAUUGACAAACUCUUAGCUAUGCUAACAAAGAGAAGGAGAGAGAAAACUCAAAUUACCAGCAUACGUGAUGAAAAAGGCAAUAUCAAAACAGACACUACAGAAUUACAGAGGAAAAUUAGAAAUUAUUUUGAAAACUUAUAUUUCAAUAAAAUAGAAGAUAUUGAAGGCAUCAACAAAUUUCUUAAGUCAUACGAUUUUCCCAGAUUGAAUCAGGAUGAUGUACACAAUUUAAACAGACCAAUAUCAAGUGAUGAAAUAGAAGAUGCCAUCAGAAACCUACCAACCAAGAAAAGCCCAGGAUGGAUGGAUACACAGCCAAGUUCUACAAGACCUUUAAAGAAGAACUAAUACCAAUAUUCUUCAGUUUAUUUUAGGAAAUAGAAAAAGAGGCAGCACUUCCAAACUCAUUCUAUGAGGUCAAAAUCACCCUGAUUCCAAAACUAGGCAAAGACACAUCAAAGAAAGAAAACUUCAGACCUAUAUCUUUAAUGAACAUAGAUGCAAAAAUUCUCAAUAAAAUUCUGGUAAAUCAAAUAUAAAGACAUAUCAAAAAGGUAUGUCUUUAUAUUCUUCCCUGGGAUGAAUCCUACUUGAUCAAGUAGGAUUCAUCCCAGGCAUGCAAGGUUGGUUCAACAUACAGAAAUCAAUAAAUGUAAUUCAUCACA